rnacentral:rRNA from 1 species
GGACCCGCACAAGUAGUGGAGCAUGUGGUUUAAUUCGAAGAUACGCGCAGAACCUUACCAACACUUGACAUGUUUGUCGCGACUUUAAGAGAUUAAAGUCUUCGGUUCGGCCGGACAAAACACAGGUGCUGCAUGGCUGUCGUCAGCUCGUGUCGUGAGAUGUUGGGUUAAGUCCCGCAACGAGCGCAACCCUCACUUUUAGUUGCCAUCAUUAAGUUGGGCACUCUGAAAGAACUGCCAGUGAUAAGCUGGAGGAAGGUGGGGAUGACGUCAAGUCCUCAUGGCCCUUACGUGUUGGGCUACACACGUGCUACAAUGGUAUCUACAACAGGAAGCAAGACUGCGAAGUUAAGCAAAUCCCUAAAAGAUACCUCAGUUCGGAUUGUCGUCUGCAACUCGACGGCAUGAAGUCGGAAUC